ACCACCAGCCUCUCUACGCUGUUGGCCCCAUCCAAAAGCUCUUUAUACCAGACUGUAUAAAGUCUUUACAGCUUAUAUGUCUCAGACGUUAAGAGCAUGAGUGAAAAUGUAAAGCAUUUUAAUUCUCAUCUCAAACGGAAGGUUUUUGGAUUACUGAAUUACAAGGCAUUUAAAAAAAUGAAAAUAAGAUUAGACACUAUGGGGAAGAGCUUACUCAAACCACAAGGCAGAACUGCCUGAUACUGAACACCAAAAACUUUGUACAACCUUCAACUAAGAUAAAGUCAUACUCCUACCACCUGAAAAAAUACAGUAAUGAAAUUAAUGGAUUCAGUAACAGUGACAGUAUGAUCCCACCUCAUUAUUCAGCAGUGAAUAAGGACACGACAAGAAGCAGGACAUGGGCCUUGAGCAGCAGCCCUCCCCCCACCUUUUGGGGGCCUGUUCUCUGGCUCCAGACUUGACUACUGCAAUGAGCUCUAUGUGGGGCUGCCUUUGCAUGUAGUCCAGAAACUGCAGUUGGUCCAGAAUGCGGCAGCCAGGUUGGUCUCUGGGUCAUCUUGGAGAAACCAUAUCACUCUUGUGUUGAAAGAACUACACUGAUUGCUGAUAAGUUUCCAGGCAAAAUACCAGGUCUUGGUUAUAAUCUUUAAAGUCCUAAACAGCUUGGGCCCUGGGCAGUGUUCUAAUUUUUUUCCAUCUAUGUGCAGAAUUAGAUUUGUUCUGGGUGGCAGUAUCAAGGCAGUGUGUGCACACAUACAUUCAGGGUGGGGCCUUCCUGAUCCAACCUGAGCGGGAUCUAAAAUUAACUGAGCGGACAUCAAAAAAUGUGUGAGUGCAUGCACAUGCUCACACAUUAGAGGAAACACUGGCCCUGGGUAUUUAAGAGAACAUCUUCUUUGCUAUGAACCACACUGACCAUUGAGAUCAUCAGGAAGGUUCCUCUGCAGUUGUCACCAGCUCCUCUGAUUGCUACUCGGGGAUGGACGUUCUCCAUUGCUGCCCCGAGGCUUUGGAAUAAGAGCCUGCUCCCUGUUGAAAUAAGAGCCUCCUCAUCUCUUUCUUACAACUUUUUAAAAAGGCAGCCAAGAUGCAUUUGUUCACCCAGGCUUUUAAUUAGAUACUGUUUUAAUUGUUGAUUAUUUUUAAUAGUUUUAAUGUUUAAAGUUUUAAAUUGUUCUAAUGUUUUAACCUUUCUACUUAAAAAAAAUUGUUUUGUUGUAAACCACCCAGGAACUUGUGUUUUGGGCGGUAUAAAAUAUGUUAAUUAAUUAAUUAACUAACACAGUAGAGUUCUGAGGAGCCGAUAUGAGCUUUUCCGGCCUUGGCGCUUCUUCCUCUUUUAAUAAAGUUAUGGCAUGUUUUAAUGAUA